rnacentral:rRNA from 1 species
GACGAACCGCCCAAACGUUAUUCGGAAUUACUGGGCUUAAAGGGUGCGUAGGCGGCCCGGCAAGUCAGGUGUGAAAUCCCACGGCUCAACCGUGGAACUGCGCUUGAAACUGCUGGGCUUGAGGGAGAUAGAGGUAAGCGGAACUGAUGGUGGAGCGGUGAAAUGCAUUGAUAUCAUCAGGAACACCGGCGGCGAAGGCGGCUUUCUGGCAGACAACUGACGCUGAGGCGCGAAAGCGUGGGGAGCAAACAGGAUUAGAUACCCCCGUA